CUCAAGUCUUGAGAUUUUUCUCAGCUGAGCCGUAAUUUUUUAAGACAUAAGCGGCCAAACAUCCAGGGAGCCGCGUGAACUUUCCCACGAACACGAGUGCAUAGUUGGGGGCAGUGGAUUUAUUCAUUUAUUGAGACGAGGUGAAGCGUUGAGAAAUGUUCAUAAACAACAUGUACAGUUUCGGGAUAUAUCCAAAUUGUAUGUUUGUACACUGUUGUACAAAGGUCACAGCCUGUUGAUGAAGAUCCUCAGCUUAUUAUACAGAGGUCAAGCUUGAGCUAUGUGCUGAUUCAAAAGAUGCUAAUGACAGUGGAUAAUCCUUUCUGAGUUGUUCUAUGACCAUUUACCAGCAUUUCAAAACACUGAUGGAACUUAAGGCAGUACAUGUACUGGUGUCUGGCCUGUGAUUUCAAGUAUAGACUAUAAUUGAUGUACCUCCUGAUGUCUCCUUGAAUACAAUAUUGUGAAAGGAACAAGCUGCAAGAUAUACUGUGGAAGUGGGGGCCUAUGUAAAAACAUUUUAUUUAAAGAAUAUAAGAAAUCUGACUCUAAACUACUGAAAAGAUGCACAGGGGACAUUUUUGUGUGUAUAGACUUUCAUCAAGAUUCUGAGAAAGUUGAUUUAUUAAACAAAAAUAGUCAUAUUGUGUCUUCAAAGCUGAAAAGAUUAAGAUCUUAGGAAAACAUUAGGA